rnacentral:rRNA from 1 species
UCCGCAGAGACACUGCUCCAUCCUAAGUCCAGCAAUGAGUACGGCUUUAUGGACGUGGCCCAUUGAGGGUGAAAGGCCCGUGGGGGUGGAGAUUUCGGUAGGCCAGUGUCUCUCUGGGUAGACCUUGGAGUCGGGUUGUUUGUGAAUGCAGCCCAAAGUGGGUGGUAAACUCCAUCCAAGGCUAAAUACUAGCACGAGUCCGAUAGCAAACAAGUACCGUGAGGGAAAGUUGAAAAGUACUUUGAAGAGAGAGUAAACAGUGCGUGAAACCGCUCAGAGGUAAACGGGUGGAGUUGAACUGCAAGCUCUGUGAAUUCAGCUGGUGAGCGUGGUUUGGGCUUGGUCAAAUUGGUUGAACUACGGGGUCUGCCUAUUAGCAGGUCUUUGUCUUCGGGCAGAGAUGCGCGAUGCACUUACCAAGUGUUGUGCGCCUCGGGGUUUCGGACCAGCUUGCCAGUGCACUUUCGCAGAGUAUUCACCACGACCGGCAUUGUCGUCUGACUAUUGUGGUUAAACUAGCCUUGUACUGUCCUUGUGGCUUUACUUGGUUGGGAUGGCAGGUAGCUCGUUGAUGAUCGUGGCUUGCUGCGACUGUCUUCGGGUGUAUUAGCUGACUACGAUGGUUCUGUGCGAUAUGUCGGAGACGGCGGCUUGUGGUGUAAGCUUGCGUGCCGGUUUGUGGACUGCUUCGAGUCUGAUUGAUAUGUUGCUUGCAUAAAGCAGGCCUAUCUUUGGCUCGGGGUAGUUUCUAUGGACGGUUGCGUAGGCAGCACUUAACAGGGCCAAUAGUCUGUGGUGUAGUGGUAGACUAUCCACCCGACCCGUCUUGAAACACGGACCAAGGAGAGUAACAUGUGCGCAAGUCAUUGGGCGUAACGAAACCCAAAGGCGCAGUGAAAGUAAAGGCUUGGCUUGUCCUUGCUGAGGUGAGAUCCUGUCGUUUCCCAUGCGCGGUACUACCAAGCUUCGAGCGGCAGGCGCAUCACCGGCCCGUCCCAUGACGUAGACACAUAGUUUUCGG